rnacentral:rRNA from 1 species
UACGUAGGGGGCCAGCGUUGUCCGGAUUUAUUGGGCGUAAAGAGCGUGUAGGCGGCCAGGUAGGUCUGGUGUGAAAACUCGAGGCUCAACCUCGAGAUGUCAUCGGAAACCAUCUGGCUAGAGUCCGGAAGAGGAGAGUGGAAUUCCUGGUGUAGCGGUGAAAUGCGCAGAUAUCAGGAGGAACACCGGUGGCGAAGGCGGGUCUCUGGGCAGUAACUGACGCUGAGGAGCGAAAGCGUGGGGAGCGAACAGG